UUACAUAACUCUCAUUAAAAAUUUUUUAAGAGUAACUGUAAUCUGGUGAUUUUUAUCUGUCAUUUCGGCAAUUUAAAGGCGCCUUUGCCCUUUGCAGCGCUUUGCCUACACAGUCGCUAUUUCUAAGAUUAAGGGACAGGGCCCCGUCGUGAGGAGGAGAGGGGGGUGGGGAUCAGGUUUCCAGUUUUUCUUACAAAACUGCCGGCUCCUACUUAAACCAACUGGAAACAGGAAAAGGAGUUCUGUGUCCUGGAUUGAAAUUUACAUCUUAAGACAGUGUAGGAAGUUCGUGUUUGGAAGGUAGUACAAGUGCAUCCAUAGGGGUUUGAAGCACCGUCAAGCCCAAGGUGUUUUUAGGACUUGAAGUUGUCUGGAAUUGCUUUUCUGUCAUAACGGACACUUUCUGCUUGGUGGACAGGAAAGUGCUAGUUUCCACUUAACUGAUAUCUACUUUCAGAGGAGAGAGCUGACAAAAAUAAAUGAAGAAAAAUAAUUUUUGUGCCCAAGAUUAAGUCAAUUGUCCAUGAAAAGAAAGAGAGAAAAGAAUAAGUCAUAUAAGAAGAAAUGAGUCUUUCAUUUUGUGGUAACAACAUUUCCUCAUAUAAUAUCUAUGAUGGUGUAUUACAAAAUCCCUGCUUUGUGGAUGCCCUCAACCUGGUCCCUCAUGUGUUCCUGUUGUUUAUCACUUUUCCAAUAUUGUUUAUUGGGUGGGGGAGCCAAAGCUCAAAAGUGCAAAUUCAUCACAACACAUGGCUUCAUUUUCCUGGGCAUAACCUGAGAUGGAUUCUUACUUUUGCUCUCCUGUUUGUGCAUGUUUGUGAAAUAGCAGAAGGCAUCGUUUCAGAUUCACGACGAGAGUCCAGGCAUCUCCACCUCUUCAUGCCGGCAGUCAUGGGAUUCGUCGCCACUACGACAUCAAUAGUGUAUUAUCAUAAUAUUGAAACAUCAAAUUUCCCUAAACUACUUUUAG